GGGCCGCUUGAAAUGCAGGUGCAGCUGGACAUUCUUCUGAGCUAAAGCAUAUCUAUUUAGUCCCUUCAAACGGAUUAUUACUUUUGCUUCAGCUAAUAUAAAGGUCGAAUGAACAACCAACGCUGAUUGCAGGAAAACUCGUUCUUAACCGAACUUGUGCACUCGAUCUCAAAUCAAGUAAGACUACCCGCUGAACUUAA
rnacentral:misc_RNA from 1 species